AAAGCAGCAGUUUUUGAAAAUAAAAUCUUGUGGAGAUUGAGGUGGGAUUCCCCUGUUUUA
rnacentral:tRNA from 1 species